rnacentral:tRNA from 1 species
GCACGUGUAGACAGGCGUAGCAGUCUCAAACAGAUUCCUAAUCUGUAGGUCGCGCGUUCGAAUCGCGCCGGGAUCGCCA